rnacentral:rRNA from 1 species
AUUGACCGCUGGCGGCGGGCCUAACACAUGCAAGUCGAGCGGAGCAGCGGACGUGUGCUUAAUGCCUAGGAAUCUGCCUGGUAGUGGGGGCUAACAUCCGGCAACGGGCGCUUAUACCGCAUCCUAUACACUGAGCCUAGGUCGUAUUGGCUAUUUGGUGGGGUAAAGGCCUACAAAGGCGACGAUCCGUAACUGGGCUGAGGUGAUGAUCAGUCAUAUGGGACUCGUGACACGGCCCAGACGCCUACGGGAGUAAGCAGUGGGGAAUAGUGGACAAGGGGCGAAAGCAUGAUCCAGCCAUGCCGCGUAUGUGAAGAAGGCCUUCGGCGUGUAAAGCACUUUAAGGUGGGAGGCGUUACCAACAGAAUAAGCACCGGCUAACUUCGUGCCAGCAGCCGCGGUAAUUC